UUAACAUCAACCCGGAAUUCAGAAUCACACAGAGUUUGUUUAGCUAUCAAUUCAUUGUCAGAUUUUUGAGCUUCACAGAUCUGUUGUAUAAACAAGGGUUUUGCUUUCAGUUCUGCUAAAACUGAACCAUCAUCAGACAGAUUCAAAUGAGCGUUCAUUAUACGCAAUGCAAACAAAGAUUUCUGACUUAAAGCAUCAGCAACAACAUUUCC
rnacentral:lncRNA from 1 species